UACGUAGGUGGCAAGCGUUGUCCGGAAUCACUGGGCGUAAAGGGCGUGUAGGCGGUCCGCUAAGUCUGAUGUGAAAGCCCGGGGCUCACCCCCGGAAGGGCAUUGGAAACUGGCGGACUCGAGUCCCGGAGAGGAAGGUGGAAUUCCUGGUGUAGCGGUGAAAUGCGUAGAUAUCAGGAGGAAUACCGGUGGCGAAGGCGGCCUUCUGGACGGUGACUGACGCUGAGACGCGAAAGCGUGGGGAGCAAACAGG
rnacentral:rRNA from 1 species